rnacentral:lncRNA from 1 species
AGAUGCUGUGCUCACCCCAGAGACGGAUGGAUCACACCGUUGAAAUUUUCUCCAUGUGUGUGACUCAUUUGUGUGCAUCUAUGUACAGGCCAGUUAACGCUGCCUGUCUAUGCACGGAUGCUGAGAUUCGGGAGCAUCCACUGGAGCACAGGAAACCUACAAGUGGUCACAUCCUUAACAAAGAGUGAUUCUCCCUCUUCCAGCAAAUAUCCACUACGAAUAGCUCCUCACUAUGGAGUGAGGCUUGGGGAUCAUCGACCCAUCUAUACCAGGAUUUUGGCUAGCCUUGCCUUGUGUACAUCUUGUGCAGGUAUUCUCCAAUUGCUGCUAACUGGUGCCAUAGAGAAAAAGUCACACUCCGCACCUUGUGAGAGAAGCUACUCCAGGUGAGAAGCCACUCUUGAGGCUCCAGGUGAGAAGCCACUCUUCCGGGUCUGUGUUAGGAACCAUUCUUCAGGUUCCACGUUUGAAAAGCCAGCUCUUCCGGUUCUGUGUCAAGAGUCACCUCUUCAGGUUCUACGUUCAAAGCCACUCUUCAGGGACUGUGUGAGAAGCCACGCUUCAGGCUCCACUCUUCCCUCAGGCUCCUGCCAGCACGGGCUGAACAGCUAUGCCACAGUUCUUCACGAAAAUGAACCGAGAUCUAAACCAGGAUUCCCUCCUUUAAGUUGUUUCUGGUUGACAAAAUUCAUCAUCGCGGGAGCUGUGUUUUGAAAGUGCCUGAAAGUGACAGACCUCUUCUGAGCCUAAACUCUGAGCAAGCCCAGUUCCCAAAGAUCCCCAGGCCUGUGUGUGCUAAUGGAAACUCCAGUCACUUCUUAGAACGACUUCUGGCUGAACCCCAGGACACAGCUCUCAGGACGGUGGGAUGUCAGCCCCCUAGACAAGUCAUCUUGUUCAGUUCUCCCAACCUUCCUUGGAGAAGCUCCUUCCUUCCAGCACUUGGUGACCCAAGCACCAAGACCACCCCUUGCCAGCCUCCAUCAGAGGCCCCGAGCAUCAGGGAUACACUUCUGCAAGAGACACGUCAACCCAGAGGUUUCAGCUGCAGCCCUAGGGAUCCCUGAAGUUCUACAGAGGAGAAUUAGUGAGACACUGAAGGAAACCAGCGAUGCUUGAGGUCUCCCAGCCCUGUCUCAGCCAGAAUGGCUGGGAUACUACUGUAAUUGAAUACGGGUACCCUAUAUACUUUUGUUUAUAGAAAGGGUUCUGUGUCACUAAAACGUUUAUAAAACAUGUGUCUGUACUAAUAAAUUUUAUAAUGGAAACAAA